UGAGCAUUUCUCCUUUGCCGAGAUAAUCCAUCCACCUCACAGGUGUGGCAUAUCAAGAUGCUGAUUAGACAACAUGAUCAUUGCACAGGUGUGCCUUACACUGGCCACAAUAAAAGGCCACUCUAAAACGUGCAGUUUUAUCAAACAAUGCCACAGAAUUAAUUUCACGAGGGGCCCGGUCAGCGCUGCGGCGCUUAAACAGCUCGACCGGCCCACGUGUGAUGACAUCAGAGCUUGGAGGAAGUGACUGCUCUGGUCACUCCUUCCAGCUUGCACCGGGAGCCACACAGGAGGAAGGAGAGGAAGAAGUCAGAGUGGGAACUCUGACUACCUUCAGGCUGAAAGAUAGGAAACAGUAGGGUCACUUAAACAUUUUGUAUAUGUGUGUGUUUGUUUGUAUGUGUGUGUGUUUGUGUCUGUAUGAAUGUUUGUAUGUGUGUCUAUGUGUAUGUCUGUGUGUCUGUGUGUGUGUGUUUGUAUGAAAAGUAUCUCACAAAAGUGAGCAUAUCCUUCACAUUUUUUCAUGUGACCUCACUGAAGAAAUUACUCUGCUGCAAUGUAGUAGUAGUGAGUGUACAGUCUGUAUAACAGGGUACAUUUGCUGUCCCCUCAAACUAACUCAACACACAGUCAAAACCGUUGGCAACAAAAGUGAGCACACCCCUAAGUUGAAAUUUUCAAAUUGGGCCCAAAGCGUCAAUAUUUUGUGUGGCCACCAUUAUUUUCCAGCACUGCCUUAACCUUCAUGGGCAUGGAGUUUACCAGUCUCUUACUACUUACACUUACUACUUCACAUUGUAGCAGAGUGUAAUUUCUUCAGUGUUAUAGAUAUAUUAAAAUAUUUACAAAAAUGUGAGGUGUGUACUCACUUUUGUGAGAUACUGUAUGUAAGUUUGUAUGUAUGUGAAUCUGUAUGUGUGUGUAUGUUGUGGGCUAUUUUCGCCCCGGGCCCUGUGGUUUCUAGUUACGCCUCUGUAUACAUACAAUACAUACAUAAUUGUUUUUUUACACAGGCCAGGAGAUUCACAUGAUGGAAAAGAUCGAGGCUGGCAGGAAGCUGCAGAGGGUCAAUUAUAGAUCUAUUUUCAGCCUUAAAUGAUGGCCAUUCUACUGGGUAAGCACUGGACCAAAAUAGCUCACACUAAACACAUUCUUUUUUGAGUUAGAAAUGUCUAGCUAACAGACUUUUUUUUUUUUUUUUUUAAACUACCAGCUGAGCGUUUAGCAAUAAUUUUUUUUUUUUUUUUACAGAUUUAGCUCUGGAGGUCUGUCUGUAUAUCAUGGUUUUUUAUUAUUUUUAUUUUAUUUAUUUAUUAUUAUAUAUUUUUUUAUCUUUAAUUUUGGUGUGUAAAUAAAGUACAGACGCAUAAUUGACUUAAAGUAAAACCAUCAUAAUUUUUUUAUUAUUAAAAAUAAUAAAUGAUGAUGUGCUACAACCUUUGUUGUGUAUUAUUAUAUCAAGGAUAUAUAACAGUUAAUAACUUUAUGUGCUUUUCCUUGAGGGUGGCCAUCUUUAGCAAUCUAUGGUCAGAAGGACUACCUUCAUCCUAAGCCCACGCGCAAUUAGAAAGUCUGCAAACAUGCAGAUGCCGAUUAGUGCAGCAUUUUAGGAACUCAACCAAGUAGGCAGGGCGGGGCCAGCAGUGACAAAACCGAAGCAGUGCUCUAAAUAAGGUAAGUUAACUACCUUUUUAACCGGGGGCAAGAGGGGACUGGAUACUUAAAGGACCACUAUAGUGCCAGAAAAAUAUACUCAUUUUCCUGGCACUAUAGGGCCCUGAGGGUCCCCCCCACCCGGGUCCCCCCCACCCUCAGGAUCCCCUUCCCGUCGGGCUGGAUGGAGAGGAAGGGGUUAAACUUACCUCUUCUCCAGCGCAAGGCGGGGAGCUCCUCUUCGGCUGAAUGCGCAUGCGCGGCAGGAGCCGCGCACGCAUUCAGCCAGUCCAUAGGAAUUCACAAUGCUUUUCUAUGGAUGCUGGCGUCUUCUCACAGUGAGAAACGUGGAAGCCCUCUAGAGGCUGUCAAUGAGACGGCCACUAGAGGCUGGAUUAACCCUAGCAUAAAUAUAGCGGUUUCUCUGAAACCGCUAUGUUUAUAGAAAAAAGGGUUAACCCUAGAUGGACCAGGCACCCAGACCACUUCAUUAAGCUGAAGUGGUCUGGGUGCCUAUAGUGGUCCUUUAAACAGCGGUUUUAGAACUAUAGUGAUAUGAAUACAUGUUUGUAUUCCUGACUCUAAAGUGUUCCUUUAAACUGGUUUAGAGAACAGAAAGAGACUGUCUGUUUGUAUAUAACCUCCAUAUAUGUUUAUAGCUGUUAGAUUGUUAGGCUCAUUAUCGACCUUUCUCCCUAUGCUUGGUCACUUAUAAUGUCCUGUGGACAUAAUACAAAUGCUAUUUUAGUACAGACCUUUUGGCCCUUUUUUCAAUAAAGCCUUUUUGUAUGUUCCCUACUAUUUUAUAUAUACUGUUAAGUUUAAGUAAUCACUAACCGAUGAGUGAAGGAACCUCAUGAACUAUAUUUUUACCACUUACAACAAACUACACACUGUAUGGGUAUUGGGUGGUUACUUAUCAUAAGGAUGAAUUGUGCACUACUUGCAAACACCAGUUAGCAGGUCCCAUCUGUUUUAACUCUUGGAAAUGGCUAAACAUUCUCAUUUAGAAUUAAGGAUUAACCCCUGGACCUAUAUAUUUGUAUUUUUCAUUGUUCUAUUUUUUUUGAGAGCAAAAAACUUGCAGUGACUCUGUCCAAGUGUGAAAGAUUACAGCUACAAUCGAUUAGUCAGAGGUGAACAAUGAGGGCACAACUUAACUGCCUCAUACAGAAGGAGACAAUACAAAGGAUUAAGGAGACAAUCUCUGCCAUAUACACAUGAAACUAAUUAUCUGUUACUUUUAUUUUCAGAUGGAUAAUCUUGAUGACUGUCAAUUACUGGCUACCUCAUACAAAUAGUAAGGGUGACAUUGUUAUUGGUAAAGUACAUUUCAUUAACGAAACACUACCACCUAAACAUUAAAAUAGUGUAGUCGUGAAUUAAAUAUCACUAUGCUAUGUGUAAUUUUUAUAUUUUAACUAUUUAAAAAAAAAAAAAAAAGAAUUGGACACUUCACAAAGUCCCACUUGAGACAUACAGAGCUUGGAGACACUGAACGUGGGUGCUGCACACUGUGCAGCAGUGACCCAGGACUCUCUAGUGGCUGUCUGAGUGACUGUCACUAGAGGUGUUACUAAGCACAAUGUAAACCCUGCAUUUCAGCUGAAAAGGCAGGGUUUACAUUAAAAAAGCCUGCAGGGACAGGCUUUAGACUACAUCAAGCUGUAGUGUUUAUGGUGACUAUAGUGUCCCUUUAAGAAUUACAUUUUGUCUCGCUGAAAAUGACGGGCUCCUAACUUUUUUAGCGGCUCCUAGAUUGCUAACAAAAUUUUCAAGCCCUGCAAUAGCCUAUGGGAAAGCAUUGGAUUGGCUGAGAUUGUCACAUUCAAUGAUCAGGGGCAAGGCAGGGCCGGCCGAGGUGACACUGGCACGGUGCUGGAAAAAAGUAAAGUGAGUAAAGAGAGGGGGACAGUGGACCUAAAUAGUGAUUUUUCCACUAUUGCAUCAGGAAUACACAUUUGUAUUCCUGACACUAUAGUGUUCUUUUAAAAAUGGUUACACAAAUAUCAAUACAUUCUGCAUCCAUCGACUUUUGGGUUGAAACUGUACAGUCCAUGGCUGAUUUAUGGUCAAUUGUCCUCUUUUUUUUUUUUUUUUUUUAUUUCUGUGCCCAAUGGAUUUACAGUGAUAUACAGGUAAUGCACAAAAGUAAUUAUCUACCUCCUGAAAUGGCGAGUGAGGUUACUCUACGGUAGCUGUUUUGUACCAUGUCUCUUUUUGUUUGAAGUUAAUGGGAGUUGUAGUCAAUAUUAGAAUAUUGGGGAAACAAAAAUAAUCUUCAGAUCUUAUGCAUAAAAGAUCAGCUCACCAUAAGUUUCUACCUCUUUUUUUCUUUAUUUUUGGUGUAUACGUAUUAAGCUGCAGGUCUAGGAAGAACUGUUAACCCCUUAAGGACAGAGGAUAUUGUCCAAGUUCUGAACCAAAAUGAAACCUAGGAUUUGAGCUAUAUGUCUGGUCAAUCAUAAUUCACCGCUUUCAUAUUAAUUGCACCCACACUUAUUAUUAAUCAUUUUGUUCAGGAGAAACAGGGCAUUAAUUUCCCAUCAAAAUUUUAUUUAUGAAGCAUAAUUUUAUAUGAUUAACCCCUUAAGGACCGAGGACGGUUCAGGACCGUCAUCGGCAUUUUCCCAUUGCCGACCGAUGACGGUCCUGAACCGUCCCAACGGUCUUAGUUACUUACCUGAUCGCCGUCGUUCCCCCGUCGGCGAUCAGCGUUGCUCCCGUUGUGGGACAGUCUCCCCACGCUGGAUUAGGACCCCUGUGGCCAUGUGAUCACUUAACACAGCGAUCACAUGGUCACAAUAGAUGUCUGCCUGCAGGGGGACUGUCUGUGCUGACAGGCAGUCUCCCUGCAUGUGUAAAAUCAAUAAAAAAAAUAAAGUUAGUGUUAAUAAAAAUUAAAAAAAAUUAUAUGUGUGUGCGUAUG
rnacentral:lncRNA from 1 species